CCCUUAGAUGUUCUGGGCCGCACGCGCGCUACACUGAUGAAUUCAACGAGUAUACUUGUCCAUUUUGGACAAUUCCUUGGUUGAGAUGCCUGGGUAAUCUUUUAAAUGUUCAUCGUGAUGGGGCUAGAUUCUUGCAAUUAUUAAUCUUAAACGAGGAAUUCCUAGUAAAGGCAAGUCAUCAACUUGCAUUGAUUACGUCCCUGCCCUUUGUACACACCGCCCGUCGCACCUACCGAUUGGGUGCUCCGGUGAAUUGUUUGGACUGCUGUCAGUCUUUUUGGCUGUCGGCGAGAAGCUCUGUGAACCUUNGNACCUAGNGGAAGGAGAANUCGUANCA
rnacentral:rRNA from 1 species